GAACUAUAGGAAUGAUGAUAUUUUAAAAAAUGUGAGCAAAGAUUGGAAUGAGUUGGUGGAGGAGAUAAAGGUGACCUCUUGGAGAUGGAGUUUGGGUAAUUAUUUGAGAGUUCCUUGUAUGUUAUAUGAAUGGUGUUGGAAUCCUAAAGAUGAUUUUGAUCUGAUUUUUGGACUUUCUGCGAUUACUGGCAUCUCAUCUCCCUCCAUUGGUUUUGGUCUGCGCCUUAAUUUCCCUGUCUGGCUACUUGUUUUUUGUUUAGUUUGUUCUUUAGUGUGUGUAUCCUAUCUUUGGUUAGUGGUUUUUGUUUUCCGCUCUUUGCUGUCUGGNNNNNNNNNNCAGGCGUGUAACCUUGUUUUGUGCCCCCCUAUGUAUUUCUUGUGAAUUGGUGUGUGCCUUUAAUUAAAUUUGCAGUUUAAAAAAAAAGUAGAAUUUUUUCAUAAUAAAAAGGAAUUGUUGGUAAUGCAGUGGAAUUAAUUGCUUUCUUGCUAUGAUCUAUGUGUCUACCUCGGCUAAUUCUAGGUGAAGUUGAAUUGGUUGUUCAUCAUUUAUAUUCAUACU
rnacentral:lncRNA from 1 species